rnacentral:rRNA from 2 species
UCUACGGGAGGCAGCAGUAGGGAAUCUUCCACAAUGGACGAAAGUCUGAUGGAGCAACGCCGCGUGAGUGAAGAAGGUUUUCGGAUCGUAAAACUCUGUUGUUGGAGAAGAAUGUAUCUGAUAGUAACUGAUCAGGUAGUGACGGUAUCCAACCAGAAAGCCACGGCUAACUACGUGCCAGCAGCCGCGGUAAUA